rnacentral:rRNA from 1 species
GUAGGUGGGCAAGCGUUGUCCGGAAUUAUUGGGCGUAAAGCGCGCGCAGGCGGUUCUUUAAGUCUGAUGUGAAAGCCCACGGCUCAACCGUGGAGGGUCAUUGGAAACUGGAGAACCUGAGUACAGAAGAGGAAAGCGGAAUUCCACGUGUAGCGGUGAAAUGCGUAGAGAUGUGGAGGAACACCAGUGGCGAAGGCGGCUUUCUGGUCUGUAACUGACGCUGAGGCGCGAAAGCGUGGGGAGCAAACAGGAUUAGAUACCCUGGUAGUCCACGCCGUAAACGAUGAGUGCUAAGUGUUAGGGGGUUUCCGCCCCCCUUAGUGCUGCAGCUAACGCAUUAAGCACUCCGCCUGGGAGUACGGCCGCAAGGCUG